AGGAGAGCAGGAUUUCUCUGUCUCUUCCAAACUUUUACUCUCAGAACUGGAGGGAAACCAUUCUGUGUUCACUCCCUCUGGUUGACAGCCACUCAUACAGGACCCUUCUGACAUUUAAAACUGGGAGAUGGACAGGUUAUCAAUGAACCUUCUCAGCCUCAUGAUUAGCUUGAUGAAAAAUUGCACAUACUCGCUGCAGCAAUAUAUCACCAUCAAGAAUAAAAAGGAAGACUACAUCUUAAAGAAACAGCCUUCAAAUGCCCCUCUACAGCUUUUCAGUAGCAUAAGAUAAAUUUGGAAUAGAAAUAAGCUACAGUUCUUAAGAACUAACACUCCUAAAAGAUUUAGAACAAAAGUUUAAAACAUAGUCUGGUUUAUGAAGAAGUUUUGUGCUACACCGGUUUUGUAAAAAUAUUUUGAAAAUCGUUAUAACUGUUUUUUUGUUCCAGCAAGUAUUGGACUAACUUGUUUCUACUUCAAUAAACCUUUGGAAAAACCAACCAGCAAACAACAACGAUUUUAAAAAUGCUUCUUGGGAUGAGUUGAAGAGAGAAUGGAAGAAACACUGAAAGGAAAUGUGAUACCAUGGAAAGUACACUGAACUGGGAAAUAGAAAGUAUGAGUUUUCAAUCCACCACCGAGCCCCUAUGUUACCUUAGCUGGGAUAUCUACCUUCUCCUGCCCUCAGACAUCAGAACUCUUGUUUCUCAGGCCUUCUGGCUCAGACUGAAUUACACAAGCUUUCCUGGAUCUCUGGCUUGCAGAUGACAUACCAUGGGACUUCACUGGCCUUCAUAUCUGCCCAAACUGGAAACAAUCCAGAUGUCCCUCAACACAUGAAUGGAUAAGCAGAUUUUGGCAUUUCUAUGCAAUGGAAAGCUACUUAUUAAUUAAAAGGAAUGAACUAUUGAUACAUGCACCAGCAUGGGUAAGUCACAAUUCAUUAUGCAGAGUAAAAGAAGCCAGAAAAAGAAAGAGUACAUACUAUAUGAUUCCAUUCAUAUAAACCUGUGGAAAAUGCAAUUUCAUCUACAGUGA
rnacentral:lncRNA from 1 species